rnacentral:snoRNA from 1 species
AUUCCAUAAUGUGGACACUUCCACAGCAUAUUUUUAAAUCUAUUCCAGGCUUCAUCAAAGUUCUCCAAGUCGACUUGAUGGAAAACAGAUAUGUCAUGCUUGAGCUU